GAACGAUUACUCCGUUGAUGGGUAGCUU
rnacentral:sRNA from 1 species